GAAGUGGACAAAUAUUUUCAUAAUCUUGGAGUAGAAAACAACUUUCUCAGGAUGAUAUACAAGAUGGAAACCAUAAAAUACUUUUUGAAUACAUAAAAAUUUAUAUGUUUAAUAAGGGGAAAACAUUGGAAAAGACUGAAUUUUAAAAAUACUUUUUAACAAAAUUCAACAUCAGAAGGCCGGGCAAGGUGAUUCACGCCUGUAAUCCCAGCACUUUGGGAGGCCGAGGCAGGCGGAUCACAAGGUCAGGAGAUCGACUACACUGGCUAACGCGAUGAAACCCCGUCUCUACUAAAAAAAAUACAAAAAAUUAGCCAGGCGUGGUGGCGGGCACCUGCAGUUCCAGGUACUCAGGAGGCUGAGGCAGGAGAAUGACGUGAAUCCAGGAGGCGGAGCUUGCAGUGAGCUGAGAUCGCGCCACUGCACUCCAGCCUNNNNNNNNNNNNNNNNNNNNNNNNNNNNNNAAAAAAAAAAAAAAAAAAGAAAAUAAGGAUUAAAACCAAGAGAUACUGUUCUCACCUGUUAAACUGGCAAUUAUUUUUUUAAAAAAGACAAUAUCCCAUUGUUGACAAAAGGGAUAAUCUUGGAAUCUCUGAUAUAUUGUGGUGGGAUAAUAAGUGAGUAUAACUUUUUUGGAGGACAAUUUAGCAUACAUAUGUAAAAACAAACACACAGCAGUUCCCUUUCUACAAAUUUAUACGAAGAAUAUAUUCAUGUUCACAAAACUUUCAACUUAAUACUGACAAAAAUCUGGUUAUAAAAUAUUAGACAUAAUUUGAUCCUUUUUUGCUCAAAAAGAGGUGUAUCUGUGCAUAGAAAAACACAUGGAAGGAUAUACAUAGAAAUGUUAAUGAUAUUCUUUGGAUUGUGAGGUUAUGGGUAACUUUUAUUCAUUAUGCUCAUCAACAGUUCAUUAUCUUAAUUUAGUGAUUUUUAAAAUGGGGGAGGAAUUAUCAAGCGUAUCCUCUACCCCUCAGAAAUGUUAUGUGGACAUUCUAUCAAAUAGCCACUCUCGCACCAAGUUGCCACACACGUUGUAUCUACCACUACUGGCUAUUCUUAGGACAAGGAAUGCAAUCAUUCUUUCAAUUCAUUCACUCAUUCGAUAAACAAUAAAUAUCCAUUAUAUAAUGGCAAUUUCUUUAAAAGUUUGCUUUUCUAAUACUUUUAGCCUGGAACAGUUGGAGCAGAACUUGGCAGCGGCAGAGGAAGGGCCCCUGGAGCCAGAUGUUGUGGAGGCCUUUAAUCAAGCCUGGCAUUUGGUUGCUUACGAAUGUCCCAACUACUUCUGCUAGGCCCAUCGUUUCUCAGGUUGCCCAAGGCUCUUCUGUAACCUCUUUUGUUUCUCACACUUUAAUUUAGAAGUGCCUCAGUACAUUCUUAGGGAUGGAAGUAUUUGGACAAAAACCUAACAGUAAAGUCACCACCAAAUGAAGAAUGAAACCUCCUGGGGUGCUGUGUGUUAGUCUGUUUGCAUUGCUAUAAAAGAAUACCUGAGACUGGGUCAUUUAUAAAGAAAACAAACAAACAAAAACAACAACAACAACAAAAAGAAAAAAGACAAAAAUGCAUGAUCAUUUUUUCCAAGUUUAAGUAGUGUUGCAAUUAGGUAAUCUUGAUUAAAAAAGAAAAAGUUCCUAGUUACAUCCAAAUUCAGGUACUAAACCAAAUAUAUCUUUCAGGGGCCAGGUGUGGUGGUGCAUGCCUAUAGUCCCAGCUACUCAGGAGGCUGAGGCAAAGAAUCAGUUGAACCUGGGAGGCAGAAGUUGCAGUGAGAUGAGAUCGUGCCUGGGCAACAGAGUGAGGUUCUGUCUCAAAAAACAAACAAACAAAAAAAAACCCACCCAAAUAUAUCCUUCAGAAUUACUUGGUUCCAUGCCUAUAUUAUUAAGUUUCAUGGUAGUACAAUUGUGAAAAAAAAUGCUUGCAGGAUAAGAUUAAAUCAGAUAACAGUCAACACAACGUGGGUGUAACAACUCAAGAGAAUAGGAAAUAGUAUUAUCCAAGAAAACCAGACAUUUCCUCAGCUAACUAUAUGCAUAUAAAAAUCAGCAUUUCUUGUAUGUGAGAAAAGGAACCAAAUGAAAAGCAUUAUAAGAAACAAGAAAACAUUUUAUGCAUUUAAU
rnacentral:lncRNA from 1 species